UCCGUUCUUUUAAAUCGUUCUAAUUAGCUAAUUAACGAAAUUAAUUAUUCUUAUCGGGAUCAGUCGACGAAACGUCGUAAUAGCAUUGACGGCGAACUAUUAUAAUAUUAUAACAGGCACUGUUACGGUUGAGGCUCAAAACGCAUAAUAAUUCAAAUUACCGCGGGCGACCGCAUUCGUUGUGUCCUGGCCUAAUAGUUG